GGUUAACUAUAUUUCCUACAAACAUGGUACUAAGAGUGAACAUUGACCAAAUAGAACCAGCAACACGAGAUUGGAUUUGCGAAGUUCAAAUUGUCGAAAUAGGACGCCCACGAGAAAUCCUUGACAAGAAAUGUACAUUCCAAAAUUUGAUUUUGGAAGAUGAAGAGGAAUGCCAAAUUAAGGCUGUUAUGUACGCUGACGAAAUUGAGCAGUAUGCAGCUACGCUUAAACUCCUCCAUACCUACCUGAUCUCUACUGCAAGAGUGAAAGUCUCCCCAGCUUCAUACGGCAAGCCAAUACAUAAAUUUUACUGGAUUCUUGACAAAGAAACAGUAAUUGAACAAAUCAAACCAUCUCAUGAAGUUGAAAAACCACUUCCACCGCCAACCAAGCUGAAUAUCACAAGCUUUGACCGCAUUCCUCAUCUGAUGUUGAUUCUGCUGUUGAAAUAGAUAUACUGGCAAUUGUUCUUCAUUGUGGUCCUCAAAAAAAACGUCGGUCGCAGUCAUCAUAGGUGUCCAGAUAUUACCCUUUGUGACAAUCAGAAAACUCAGUUUCUCUUCACUCUAUGGGAGGAUUUCGGAGAAAUAGAAGGACAUGAAAUUGCCUCUAAAAUGGCAACAGAGGCAGAUCUGUUUGUACUUCUCGGAAGAAGUAUAGGAAUCUCUACUUAUCAAGGGUUGUCACUGCAGACUAGGUACAAUUCCACACUACAUGUGAAUCCGAAUUACCCACAUGUAGUGGCACUCAUGAACAGGGCAAAAGAAAACAAAACAAUGUUGUUAAGUUGUCCAUCAGAGAAAACCUCAACAAGCUCAUCUACCACUCCCAUGAUAGUCACUACUGCUGGCCAACAACUUCUCUCUAUUGCAGAAAUCUCAUCAGCACCUUCUAUGGGAGUGUUCUAUGUUGAAGCAGAGAUGGCCAUAUUAGAUGAAUUCCAAGACUUUUGUGUGCUUGAAUGCUCGGGAUGCAAACAGAAGAAGCGGACAAAGGAUAGAAAGGAUUUUGAAUGUCCAAAAUGCAAUCGGAAAACAGCCUUAGUGCCUCGCUGUAGCUUUCAAAUUGAUCUUAUUGACAAUACUGCUACAACCACAUCAUCUAUCUCUGCUGAAUUAGGAGAAAAAAUAUUGUCCAUGACAGCAGAAGACAUAUUUGACAUAACUUGCACUAAGCGACAAUCAUUGUCUCUUACUCAUGUCCAUGAGAUGUUGUCAAACAAAGUAUUCGCAAUUCAGCUAAGGAAGUCAUCUUGGGCCAGCUCAAAUACCACGCAUGCAACUUUGUCCAUUCUUUCCUACACGGAAAAACAACAUGCUCCACAGACCACCACUGAUAGGAAUUCUAAAAAGAUAAAACCUUUGGAAAUAAGUGAGGUAGAAGUGAUGGCAACAACUACUGCAGCUGGUUCUUCAAGUGCAUUGCCAAAAUUUGAACCACCCAUACCAACCUAAAAGGUCUAAAAG